rnacentral:rRNA from 1 species
GACAGAGGGUGCAAACGUUGUCCGGAAUCAUUGGGCGUAAAGCGCGCGUAGGCGGCCCUGUAAGUCCGUUGUGAAAGUCAAAGGCUCAACCUUUGAAAGCCGAUGGAUACUGCAGGGCUAGAGUCCGGAAGAGGCGAGUGGAAUUCCUGGUGUAGCGGUGGAAUGCGCAGAUAUCAGGAGGAACACCAAUAGCGAAGGCAGCUCGCUGGGACGGUACUGACGCUAAGGCGCGAAAGCGUGGGGAGCGAACAGG